rnacentral:tRNA from 1 species
GCUAGCGUAGCUUACCUAAAGCAUGACACUGAAAAUGUUAAGAUAGACAUUAAUAAAUCUCGCAAGCA